AGUGAGGAAUAUUGCACAAUGGAGGAAACUCUGAUGCAGCAACGCCGCGUGGAGGAUGACGCAUUUCGGUGUGUAAACUCCUUUUAUAAGAGAAGAAAAUGACGGUAUCUUAUGAAUAAGUCCCGGCUAACUCCGUGCCAGCAGCCGCGGUAAUACGGAGGGGACAAGCGUUAUUCGGAAUCACUGGGCGUAAAGGACGCGUAGGCGGGUUAUUAAGUCGGGUGUGAAAUCCAAUGGCUCAACCAUUGAACUGCAUUCGAAACUGAUAACCUAGAGUAUGGAAGGGGCAGGUGGAAUUAGUGGUGUAGGGGUAAAAUCCGUAGAUAUCACUAGGAAUACCGAAAGCGAAGGCGACCUGCUGGGACAUUACUGACGCUGAGGCGUGAAAGCGUGGGGAGCAAACAGGAUUAGAUACCCUGGUAGUCCACGCCCUAAACGAUGAAUGCUAGUCGUCGGGGCUCUAGUAGCUUCGGUGAUGCACUUAACAGAUUAAGCAUUCCGCCUGGGGAGUACGGUCGCAAGAUUAAAACUCAAAGGAAUAGACGGGGACCCGCACAAGUGGUGGAGCAUGUGGUUUAAUUCGAAGAUACGCGAAGAACCUUACCUAGCCUUGACAUUGAUUGAAUUUUCCAGAGAUGGAGAAGUGCCUUUCGGGGAACAUGAAAACAGGUGCUGCACGGCUGUCGUCAGCUCGUGUCGUGAGAUGUUGGGUUAAGUCCCGCAACGAGCGCAACCCUCGUCGUUAGUUGCUAACAGGUUAAGCUGAGCACUCUAGCGAGACUGCCUUCGCAAGGAGGAGGAAGGUGAGGACGACGUCAAGUCAUCAUGGCCCUUAUGGCUAGGGCUACACACGUGCUACAAUGGGGCGUACAGAGAGUUGCGAUACCGCGAGGUGGAGCCAAUCUCAUAAAGCGUCUCUCAGUUCGGAUUGUUCUCUGCAACUCGAGAACAUGAAGCUGGAAUCACUAGUAAUCGUAGAUCAGCAACGCUACGGUGAAUACGU
rnacentral:rRNA from 1 species